rnacentral:lncRNA from 1 species
UGUUGUAGGACGGUAAUUUAAGGUAGCACCGACACAGAUGUAGUAGUAUUAAGAAUUGCAGCACUCCAAAAAUAUGGUGGAACAAACUGUGAAUAGGUUUUGGCAGGAAUGAAGACUUUUGAUGGCUUCCUGUACGUGAUAUAUCAAAUGCGUUUGGUCCUCGUGUAGCUACUCUUCCUUUCAUUCAUACAUUCAGUGCAUGUGACACUAAGGGAAUAGGUCAGUUUGGAUGACAUAGGGAAGUAUUUCAACAUGUAAGGGACGUACUUAUUUCUUUGCUGAAGUAUAAAGACACAUACAAGGACAUAAAAGAAGCAUUUGUUUGCAUCAUGUAUGACAGAACAACAUCACUAUUUGCUGUUAACGAGGCACGAUGUAAAUUUUUACCCAGGAAGCAGCGGCAUUGUGAUGUAGUUCCGCCUACAAGAGUUUUUUUUUCGGAGCACAUCCAAAGAGCAGCGUAUCAAGGAGGAUAAGUUUGGGCUCAGCCUGAUUUAUGUACCAAUUCAUGAACACUGGGGUUGGAUGAAAGAAAAAAAAUCGAGGACUUCUUCGGCUACCGUUAAAGUUGCAUCCUCCUGUCGGGAACUUUUGAAAUGAGGAGGCGAAAAAUCCAGUUGUGUUGGUGACUGUAAAUGCUACCGUUCUGUCCUUCCUUGUACGAGUUUUGUUAUUGGCUACUGUCCGAUAAUUUUAAGAUAACGAACCUGUCUUUCUAACAAAACUAGGCAUUUAAUCUUAACAAAGAAUGUGAUAUCACUUGUUAAGUUGAUGAAAAUUAUAAAAAAAAUACAUUUUCAAAAAUUUUGCCGCCAUUUUGAAACCGGAAAUCACUCUUUUUUGUCAUUUAUGUGUUGUUUUUCCGUACUUUAGAAACUGUAAUUUACGCUUAAUAAAACCUUACAUUGGAUUAUACCUAUAACACAACUUUCAAAGAUUUACAACUGGAUAUGACGCCAUUUGCAAAAUGAUCGGUGGCCAUCUUGAAAAAAUGGAAAUUUUUGAUGGCCAGCACCUGAUUUCUUUUAAUUAUCGUUUAGUCCACCUGUAUACCAAAUUUCAUGCUUGUAUUUCAUGCUUGUGUUAUUACUUGUUAAGUUGAUGAAAAUUAUUAAAAUAUUUUUUACGUAUUUGCAUCUAAUUUGGAACCGGAAACCACUAUUUUUCUUCAGUUAUGUGUUGUUUUGUCGUACUAAGGAGCUGUUUUUAACGUUUUAUCAUAUCUUACAUUGAAUUAUACAUAACACAUCUUUCAAGGAUUAAAAUCCCUUGUAAAAUUGCUUGAAAGUAAAAAAAAUCGAAAUUUUUGACUCGUUAGCCGACAUUUUGAAACCGGAAGUCACCUUAAGUUUCAUUAAUGUAUUGUCUAGUCGUUAUUUAUGAACUGUCAUUUUCUUUUUAUCAAAUC